GUGGGGAAUAUUGGACAAUGGGCGAAAGCCUGAUCCAGCCAUGCCGCGUGUGUGAAGAAGGUCUUCGGAUUGUAAAGCACUUUAAGUUGGGAGGAAGGGCAGUAAGUUAAUACCUUGCUGUUUUGACGUUACCGACAGAAUAAGCACCGGCUAACUUCGUGCCAGCAGCCGCGGUAAUACGAAGGGUGCAAGCGUUAAUCGGAAUUACUGGGCGUAAAGCGCGCGUAGGUGGUUUUGUAAGUUGGAGGUGAAAUCCCCGGGCUCAACCUGGGAACUGCCUCCAAAACUGCAUGACUAGAGUACGGUAGAGGGUAGUGGAAUUUCCUGUGUAGCGGUGAAAUGCGUAGAUAUAGGAAGGAACACCAGUGGCGAAGGCGACUACCUGGACUGAUACUGACACUGAGGUGCGAAAGCGUGGGAGCAAACAGGAUUAGAAACCCGAGUAGUCC
rnacentral:rRNA from 1 species